rnacentral:tRNA from 1 species
CGUGGGUGGUGGCCUGGUUCUGCAUGCGCGCCGCGCUCGGGCUGCCGCUGCAUCUGCACGGCGGCGGCCGUCAGGUGCGCGACCUGGUGCACGUGG